rnacentral:tRNA from 1 species
CAGGGAGACAACAAAAUGUUUAAUAUUAUUUUGUCACCUUAGGUCGAUCGGUAUCUCACGUUCUCAAUUAUAUUGAGGAUUUCAUUUCCUAAGUUUUUCUAGGUCACACCCAUUUUUUUCCUGGGCCAUUAGCUCAGGUGGUUAGAGCGCACCCCUGAUAAGGGUGAGGUCCCUGGUUCAAGUCCAGGAUGGCCCAUAUCUCUAUGUUGGGGGUAUAGCUCAGUUGGUAGAGCGCCUGCUUUGCAAGCAGGAUGUCAGCGGUUCGAGUCCGCUUACCUCCACUGAUUACCACCUCUUCCAUAAUCUGUAGAAAGGAAAAUUUUUGAGUUGUGAUCAUAUUUCUGAACGAAUCUAGCUUCCUAAUUAAGCCAUUAAGAUGCUGGAUUCAUUGAAUUAAUUUCAUUGUUUUCAGAGAACCUUGACAACUGCAUAGAUUAUUUUUAAAGACAAUAAGCAUCUUUAAUGAUGCAGAUUUAUUAUUUGUGCAAAUGCAUUAAUAACAAUUCUAUUAAGCUGAUGCUUCAAUUUUGAAGUUAUU